GGAACGAUGGCGUAGUUGGUUAUCGCAUCUGUCUAACACACAGAAGGUCCCCAGUUCGAGCCUGGGUCGUUUCA